rnacentral:tRNA from 1 species
GGCGGUGUAGCUCAGCCGGUUAGAGCAGAGGAAUCAUAAUCCUUGUGUCGGGAGUUCAAGUCUCUCCACCGCUACCA